AAAACGGCUCUUUUAAGAGCCACACACAUCCCCUAUAGAGCAUUAU
rfam:Takifugu rubripes chromosome, Chr_15